rnacentral:rRNA from 1 species
UGGGGAAUAUUGCACAAUGGGCGCAAGCCUGAUGCAGCCAUGCCGCGUGUGUGAAGAAGGCCUUCGGGUUGUAAAGCACUUUCAGCGGGGAGGAAGGCGAUAAGGUUAAUAACCUUGUCGAUUGACGUUACCCGCAGAAGAAGCACCGGCUAACUCCGUGCCAGCAGCCGCGGUAAUACGGAGGGUGCAAGCGUUAAUCGGAAUUACUGGGCGUAAAGCGCACGCAGGCGGUCUGUCAAGUCGGAUGUGAAAGACCCGGGCUAAACCUGGGAACUGCAGUAGAAACUGGCAGGCGAGAGUCUUGUAGAGGGAGGUAGAAUUCCAGGUGUAGCGGUGAAAUGCGUAGAGAUCUGGAAGAAUACCGGUGGCGAAGGCGGCCCCCUGGACAAAGACUGACGCUCAGGUGCGAAAGCGUGGGGAGCAAACAGG